AGGUGUAGAGCAUUUGACUGCAUAAGAGGCUCACCUUACCAGGUUUUAUUUCUUAGAGAAGUUUUAGCUAAGGAGAUAUUUAAGCCAGAAACUAAAAGGCAAGGAAAAAAAGAGACAGAAAGGAGAGAUGCAAAAGCAUUUGGGCUGUGGAAAUGCCUAACUGCUGUGAAUGCUUAGUCAUUCAGUGUGGCCGGAGGUCAAGGUUGAGUGCAAGGCAGAGAGAUGAGCAAACUGAUGUCAAGGUCAUACAACUACUGAAUGGCGGAAUCCAGAUUUCAUUCCCGGCAAACAGAGUCCAGAGCCCUAAAACUUCAACCAUUAUAUACACUGUGAAGAUAUUUCAUUAAAUACAGAUGGAAUUAAAUCAUCUGACAUUAGAGACAAAGGAAAUUCUGAGAUUAUUGAUUUCCAUCAUGAAACAGAUAUAGAAACUGAAGCUAAGACUUGGAAGUGUCUUGGUUCAGGUGAUUUAUAUAAUUGCAGAAACGUAUCUGCACAAGGCUCCUGACUCCUCAUUAGAAUUACUUUUGCAAAGUUUACUCCAUCUCUUCUGCAAAGUUUCCUCCUUCUUUGCACUUGCAUACCCCUUUCAGGGUUUUGUUU
ensembl:lncRNA